GAUAAACGCUGGCGGCGUGCCUAAUACAUGCAAGUCGAGCGAACGGACGUGAAGCUUUUUUCUGUGAUGUUAGUGGUGGACGGGUGAGUAACCCGUGGAUAACCUCCCUAUUAGACUGGGUUGACUUAGGGAAACCGCAGCUAAUACCGGGUAAUAUUUUGAAUCGCAUGAUUUAAAAGUGUAAGACGUUCUUGCUAUCUCUUAUAGAUGGAUCCGCGCUGCAUUAGCUUUUUGGUAAGGUAACGGCUUACCAAGGCAACGUAGCAUAGCAGACCUGAGAGGGUAAGCGGCCACACUGGAACGGAGACACGGUCCAGACUCCUGCGAGAGGCAGCAGUAGGAAAUCUUCAGCAAUGGGCGAAAGCCGGAAGGAUCAACGCCGCGUGAGUGAUGAAGGUCGUCGGAUCGUAAAACUCUGUAAUUAGGGAAGAACAUAUGUGUAAGUAACUGUGCACAUCUUGACGGUACCAAAUCAGAAAGCCACGGCUAACUACGUG
rnacentral:rRNA from 1 species